rnacentral:rRNA from 1 species
UACGUAGGUGGCAAGCGUUGUCCGGAUUUACUGGGCGUAAAGAGCGCGCAGGCGGUCGUUCAAGUCACGUGUGAAAGCCCCCGGCUCAACUGGGGAGGGUCACGCGAUACUGAUCGACUCGAAGGCAGGAGAGGGUAGUGGAAUUCCCGGUGUAGUGGUGAAAUGCGUAGAUAUCGGGAGGAACACCGGUGGCGAAGGCGGCUUCCUGGACCGACACUGACGCUGAGGCGCGAAAGCUAGGGGAGCAAACGGG